GAGUUUGAUCCUGGCUCAGAUUGAACGCUGGCGGCAUGCCUUACACAUGCAAGUCGAACGGCAGCAUGAUCUAGCUUGCUAGAUUGAUGGCGAGUGGCGAACGGGUGAGUAAUACAUCGGAACGUGCCCUGUAGUGGGGGAUAACUAGUCGAAAGAUUAGCUAAUACCGCAUACGACCUGAGGGUGAAAGUGGGGGACCGCAAGGCCUCAUGCUAUAGGAGCGGCUGAUGUCUGAUUAGCUAGUUGGUGGGGUAAAGGCCCACCAAGGCGACGAUCAGUAGCUGGUCUGAGAGGACGAUCAGCCACACUGGGACUGAGACACGGCCCAGACUCCUACGGGAGGCAGCAGUGGGGAAUUUGGACAAUGGGCGAAAGCCUGAUCCAGCAAUGCCGCGUGUGUGAAGAAGGCC
rnacentral:rRNA from 1 species